AACCAGUAUCGAUUGGACCCCGCUUUAUUAAUAUAAAGCUACUAAAUAUGUAUUUUCAUGUCAUAAACGAUCCAAAGGGGUACCAAUUAUUUGUAAAUAUAAAUAUAUCUUUCUAGAGCUUAUUUUCACCGUAGAAAUCAUUUCACCAGUUUCUCUGCACGAAUACCGAGAGAAACCGAGCGGUGUUCUUCGUGUUCUUCAUAAUCAAACGUGGAUUUGAAGGCGUUAUUGGAGUCAGAAUCAAGCGUGCGAAUAGUCAAAUCGAAGAUAUCGAAGAGUAGAACCCAGAUCAAUCAUCAAAAACAACAUGAGAUUCACAGGUAGGGAGUAAUUGAAGGUUUAAAAUUCGAAGUACUAUGAUUUGAAUAGUGAAUUUUUGCAAACGAUGUUGUUUGAUUGUUUUGAUGAUUCCAUGUUGUAGAGCAUCUUCUGCCAUUCGUUUUCAUAUAUCAUAUGUUAGAUUUUGAGUCCAGUAACAUGCUCAAAUAUGUGUUUGAUUCUUCGAAAUUGUAAACUAGGGUUCUUGAGCGAGUUUGAAUGUUUCAAAUUGGGUUUGGGGGUUUCUUAUCCUGUAAAUCUGGGCUGUUUUUGUUGGAAUCAUCGUGUAGAGCUUGAAGAGGGGAAUCGUUUGAUGAUAAGAAGGUGUGUGGAGGAAGCCAGGAGCGUCCCCGCCGGAGCUGCGAAGCUAGCCGGCGGUGAGCCCUGUUCUUCAUCGUUUUCCGGCCAUAAUCGGCCGCCUUUAAUGAUUUUGAGUGUAUAUAUGUGAUGCUAGGAGUGUGUGUAACUGGUCUGGAGGUUCUGGGGUCGAACGGCGGUCUGCAACGCCGUUUCCGGCGAGUCGGGGCGCCGGCGGUAUCAAAUUACCGUUUGGUACCCUGGCUUUUGGAAACAGUGAAGUUUUAGUAUUCUCGUUUCUGUUUUAGCAAGACAGACCCUAAACUUUUCAGAGUUUACACUUUAAACCCUGGACAAAACUUUCAAAAGUUUACACUUUAAACCUUUUGAAUUUAAUUGUCAAAAAUUGUUUUAUUUAAUUAUUUUAAAUUCCAAAAAUAGUUUUUAAUUAUUUAUUUAUUCAAAAAUAAAUCUAAAUUAGUUUAUUAAUUACUUUUAAUUAGUAAUUAAUUAUUUUAAUUGGUCAAUUAAUUUAAAUAUUAAUUGAUUAAUUAUUUUAAUUAAUUAUUAAUUGAUUUUAAUUGAUUAAUUAAUUGGAUUUAAUUAUUCUUUUUGAUUUAAAAAUUCUGAAAAAUAGUUUCGAGCUUUGAAAUAUUUUUCUAAAUUAUGUUCAAGGCUCGACAAUUGUUUAUGAAUGAUUUCAAGUCCAAUUUCAAGUAUUUGGGACUUGAUUAUUUAUCCGAAAAGUGAUUCUUUUAUCGAUUUUAAUUCCGAAAAAUGUUUAAAAAUUCCAGAAAAUUCCCGAAAAAUCAUUUUUAACCCAAGACUUGAUUUAAUAUCAAUUGGGAUGGGAAACCUUAUGUGUUGUGUGUUGUCUGCUAUUGGUUGGAUGUGUUAUGUGCCGAUAGGAGAGUGAGAAAACUGUUUUGAGCAUAACUUUUGAUCCGUAAGUCGGAAUCAAGUGAAACGAAAGAGAGACAGAAGCUUAUAACGUCUAUUUUAAUAUGAUGUGACUAUAUGGCUGAGUCUAUAAGGUGAAUAAUUGUUGAUAAGUAUGCAUAAUGUGAUAAUAUGUGAUCUAAGUGCUAUCAAGUGAUGAUUAUGUGAAGUACGUGUUAGUUUUGAUAUUGUGAAGUGAUAAAUGAUUCGUAUGAUUGAUAUUGGAUAAGAAUAUAUGGAUUAUAGUUAUUGGAUUUUGUUGGUUGAUUAAUGAUUGAGAUAGGAUAAUAGGUGGAUAGUCUUAUACAUAGACGAGACGAUGUCGGAUUUUCGAUAAGGAUUUAUAUGAUAAUUGAUUGGUGAUAUGUUAUGUGGAAUAUGAUUGACUAUAUGUUAGAGUCAAAGCAUGCUUAUGUGUUACGUGGUAUCUGAUAAGUUUAAAGGGAUAUAUAAGUGGGUAUCGGUAUACGUGAUAUGUAUAUGCGAUAUAUUGUUUAGUGACUAUAGUAUUAUCUUAUUCUCGUAAAGGAUUUGGACGAGACGUGUACGCUCGAAGACGUCAGGAAGUCGAAAUGGUAUUGCAAAGCGAAUAAGGGAUGAAUCGAGUAAGCGAAGCGAUGUGGCGAAUAGAGUAUAGCUAGAGAUGGUCUAGAGAUUACGAG
rnacentral:lncRNA from 1 species